UACAGAGGGUGCAAGCGUUGUUCGGAAUUAUUGGGCGUAAAGCGCGUGUAGGCGGCUUUGCAAGUCGGGUGUGAAAGCCCUCAGCUCAACUGAGGAAGUGCGCCCGAAACUGCAGAGCUUGAGUGCCGGAGAGGGUGGCGGAAUUCCCCAAGUAGAGGUGAAAUUCGUAGAUAUGGGGAGGAACACCGGUGGCGAAGGCGGCCAUUCUGGGA
rnacentral:rRNA from 1 species